rnacentral:rRNA from 1 species
CGGAGGGGCUAGCGUUGUUCGGAAUUACUGGGGCGUAAAGCGCACGUAGGCGGAUCAGAAAGUUGGGGGUGGAAAUCCCGGGGGCUCAACCUCGGAACUGCCUUCAAAACUAUUGGUCUUGAGUUCGAGAGAGGUGAGUGGAAUUCCGAGUGUAGAGGUGAAAUUCGUAGAUAUUCGGAGGAACACCAGUGGCGAAGGCGGCUCACUGGUUCGAUACUGACGCUGAGGUGCGAAAGCGUGGGGGAGCAAACAGGAUU